ACAAGCGGUGGAGCAUGUGGUUAAUUCGAAGCAACGCGAAGUAACCUUACCAGGUCUUGACAUCCCGAUGCUAUUUCUAGAGAUAGAAAGUUACUUCGGUACAUCGGUGACAGGUGGUGCAUGGUUGUCGUCAGCUCGUGUCGUGAGAUGUUGGGUUAAGUCCCGCAACGAGCGCAACCCCUAUUGUUAGUUGCCAUCAUUCAGUUGGGCACUCUAGCGAGACUGCCGGUAAUAAACCGGAGGAAGGUGGGGAUGACGUCAAAUCAUCAUGCCCCUUAUGACCUGGGCUACACACGUGCUACAAUGGUUGGUACAACGAGUUGCGAGUCGGUGACGGCGAGCUAAUCUCUUAAAGCCAAUCUCAGUUCGGAUUGUAGGCUGCAACUCGCCUACAUGAAGUCGGAAUCGCUAGUAAUCGCGGAUCAGCACGCCGCGGUGAAUACGUUCCCGGGCCUU
rnacentral:rRNA from 1 species